rnacentral:rRNA from 1 species
GAGUUUGAUCCUGGCUCAGAACGAACGCUGGCGGCGUGCUUAACACAUGCAAGUCGAACGUGAUCCAGAGCUUGCUCUGGUGAAAGUGGCGCACGGGUGAGUAACGCGUGGAUAACCUGCCCUGGUAUCUGGGAUAACAUCUCGAAAGGGGUGCUAAUACCGGAUAAGCCUACGGGAUCUUCGGAUUCUGCAGGAAAAGGAGGCCUCUAUUUAUAAGCUACCGUAUCAGGAUGAGUCCGCGUACCAUUAGCUAGUUGGUGGGGUAAUGGCCCACCAAGGCUACGAUGGUUAGCUGGUCUGGGAGGAUGAUCAGCCACACUGGAACUGAGACACGGUCCAGACUCCUACGGGAGGCAGCAGUGGGGAAUUUUGCGCAAUGGGGGAAACCCUGACGCAGCAACGCCGCGUGAGUGAUGAAGGCUUUCGGGUCGUAAAGCUCUGUCAGAGGGGAAGAAAUGAGUCUGGCUAAUAUCCAGAUUUCUUGACGGUACCCUCAAAGGAAGCACCGGCUAACUACGUGCCAGCAGCCGCGGUAAUAC